ensembl:snRNA U2 U2 spliceosomal RNA
GUGUCUUCUGGGCCUGUUGGCUAAGAUCAAAUAUAGUAUCUGUUCUCAUCAGUUUACUAUUUGAUACGUCCUCUAUUCACGGAUAGUAUAUGAAAUGGGUAUUUGGAGGCGGGACAUGGAAUAGGAGCUUGCUUUGUCCACUCCACGCAUUGACCUGGUAUUAUUAUCUCCAGGAACGAGGAACUGUGC